rnacentral:rRNA from 1 species
UACAGAGGUGGCAAGCGUUGUUCGGAAUUACUGGGCGUAAAGGGCGCGUAGGCGGCCUUGUCAGUCAGACGUGAAAUCCCCAGGCUUAACCCGGGAACUGCGUCUGAUACUACAAGGCUGGAGUUCGGGAGAGGGAUGUGGAAUUCCAGGUGUAGCGGUGAAAUGCGUAGAUAUCUGGAGGAACACCGGUGGCGAAGGCGGCAUCCUGGACCGAAACUGACGCUGAGGCGCGAAAGCCAGGGGAGCAAACGGGAUUAGAAACCCCCGUAGUCC